GGCUAAAUCUGAAAUUGAUGACGUCACAUGAAAACAGGCCAGUUCUAGUUCCCAGGUUAUGCUGUGCCAACAAGACUCGAACGAACGACGCGAACACAACGAAGUUGGUGUGGCAUGUUUGUGUGAUACAUAAACGACGUGGCAAUAGCACCUAGAGCUGAUGUGAUUGACUGAUUUAGUGGUUUGUUCUGGUCAAUUCAUCACAUGCAAGAAUGAGUGGUCCUCCCCCCCAUGGGCACUAUCCAGCUACUGGGCAGCACCAACCUCCACCCCCUGGACAGUAUUACCCCCAGGUGAGUGUGGUAAUAU